rnacentral:lncRNA from 1 species
GUCGACCUCGUAUACACGCAGAGAAAAUAUUGAUUAAUCAAGCCAUAAAUGACUAACUAGCCCUCAUUCAAUUUGGUUAAUCUAGUAAUUACAUAGUCUUGACAUGAUUAGUCAGGCUUUGUAUAUGUGUCGCAUUGUCGCCACAUAUAAUCCUCUAAUACAAGUAAGGGUAUGACUGGUUUUCCCGCUACCACCCGCAAACGCAGCUUUUGCGGUUGGUAGCGGUUGUUGGCGUUUUGCAACAAUCGCUCAAACCGC